UACAGAGACUGCAAGCGUUAUUCGGAUUCACUGGGCGUAAAGGGUGCGCAGGUGGCCGUGUGUGUGAGGCGUGAAAGCCCGGGGCUCAACCCCGGGAGGCGGGUGGAUACUGUCAAGCUCGAGUCCGGAAGAGGCGAGUGGAAUUCCUGGUGUAGCGGUGAAAUGCGCAGAUAUCAGGAGGAACACCAAUGGCGAAGGCAGCUCGCUGGGACGUGACUGACGCUGAGACGCGAAAGCGUGGGGAGCAAACAGG
rnacentral:rRNA from 1 species